rnacentral:lncRNA from 1 species
AAUCCAUUAUGGAAGCUUUAAGGGCUAGAUUAAAGCACAAAUCAUAGUAAAGCUAGCAUGCAAGUGGAGACCAUUGAUACUGUUUCGAUCAAAAGUGAUCUAGAGUGUUCUUGGAAGUUUAAUCUGUAAACAAAGUGACAUUCAGAGUGGAGGCAAAUAACAGUGUGUGGGAAUAACUCGUUUAUUCACUUACCCAUGCAGUGUGCUGUGUUUGCAGUACAAUUCUUGGAGGAGAGGAAGACUUAAAUGAUCCUUGUACAGCUGAUUGUGGAGAAAGAAGUCCAAAGAUAGCCACAAAGAUGAAGAAGCAGGGAAAAAUGAGAUUUCACUUGUAGAUUUUCAGUUUCAUCUCUGGAGAUGAAGUGAGAUUGCUACCUUGAAUCAGCAGUAACUGAAGGCAACUUGUGUACCCAACUGAUUGUUUCUACUUAGAUUCUUCAAUUUUUCAAAUAGAUCAACAAUUAUAAGGCAUUUUUUA